UACGAAGGGGGCUAGCGUUGUUCGGAUUUACUGGGCGUAAAGCGCACGUAGGCGGAUCCUUAAGUCAGGGGUGAAAUCCCGGGGCUCAACCUCGGAACUGCCUUUGAUACUGGCGAUCUUGAGUCCGGGAGAGGUGAGUGGAACUGCGAGUGUAGAGGUGAAAUUCGUAGAUAUUCGCAAGAACACCAGUGGCGAAGGCGGCUCACUGGCCCGGUACUGACGCUGAGGUGCGAAAGCGUGGGGAGCAAACAGG
rnacentral:rRNA from 1 species